GAGUAGGGCGGGACACGUGGUAUCCUGUCUGAAUAUGGGGGGACCAUCCUCCAAGGCUAAAUACUCCUGACUGACCGAUAGUGAACCAGUACCGUGAGGGAAAGGCGAAAAGAACCCCGGCGAGGGGAGUGAAAAAGAACCUGAAACCGUGUACGUACAAGCAGUGGGAGCACAGAGCAAUCUGUGUGACUGCGUACCUUUUGUAUAAUGGGUCAGCGACUUAUAUUCUGUAGCAAGGUUAACCGAAUAGGGGAGCCGAAGGGAAACCGAGUCUUAACUGGGCGUUAAGUUGCAGGGUAUAGACCCGAAACCCGGUGAUCUAGCCAUGGGCAGGUUGAAGGUUGGGUAACACUAACUGGAGGACCGAACCGACUAAUGUUGAAAAAUUAGCGGAUGACUUGUGGCUGGGGGUGAAAGGCCAAUCAAACCGGGAGAUAGCUGGUUCUCCCCGAAAGCUAUUUAGGUAGCGCCUCGUGAAUUCAUCUCCGGGGGUAGAGCACUGUUUCGGCAAGGGGGUCAUCCCGACUUACCAACCCGAUGCAAACUGCGAAUACCGGAGAAUGUUAUCACGGGAGACACACGGCGGGUGCUAACGUCCGUCGUGAAGAGGGAAACAACCCAGACCGCCAGCUAAGGUCCCAAAGUCAUGGUUAAGUGGGAAACGAUGUGGGAAGGCCCAGACAGCCAGGAUGUUGGCUUAGAAGCAGCCAUCAUUUAAAGAAAGCGUAAUAGCUCACUGGUCGAGUCGGCCUGCGCGGAAGAUGUAACGGGGCUAAACCAUG
rnacentral:rRNA from 1 species